rnacentral:piRNA from 1 species
UCGGUGGUUCGAGCCCGCCCG